rnacentral:rRNA from 1 species
UCGGGCGUUUCGGGCUUCGGCUCGACUCUCCCACCCUUUGUGAACGUACCUCUGUUGCUUUGGCGGCUCCGGCCGCCAAAGGACCUCCAAACUCCAGUCAGUAAACGCAGACGUCUGAUAAACAAGUUAAUAAACUAAAACUUUCAACAACGGAUCUCUUGGUUCUGGCAUCGAUGAAGAACGCAGCGAAAUGCGAUAAGUAAUGUGAAUUGCAGAAUUCAGUGAAUCAUCGAAUCUUUGAACGCACAUUGCGCCCCUUGGUAUUCCGGGGGGCAUGCCUGUUCGAGCGUCAUUACAACCCUCAAGCUCUGCUUGGAAUUGGGCACCGUCCUCACUGCGGACGCGCCUCAAAGACCUCGGCGGUGGCUGUUCAGCCCUCAAGCGUAGUAGAAUACACCUCGCUUUGGAGUGGUUGGCGUCGCCCGCCGGACGAACCUUCUGAACUUUUCUCAAGGUUGACCUCGGAUCAGGUAGGGAUACCCGCUGAACUUAAGCAUAUCAUAGACCGGAGAGA